rnacentral:rRNA from 1 species
AUAUCAAUAAGCGGAGGAAAAGAAACCCAACCGGGGAUUGCCUUCAGUAACGGCGAGUGAAGCGGCAAGAGCUCAAAUUUGAAAGCUGGCUCCUUCGGAGUCCGCAUUGUAAUUUGCAGAGGAUGCUUUGGGUGCGGCCCCCGUCUAAGUGCCCUGGAACGGGCCGUCAGAGAGGGUGAGAAUCCCGUCUUGGGCGGGGUGUCCGUGCCCGUGUAAAGCUCCUUCGACGAGUCGAGUUGUUUGGGAAUGCAGCUCUAAAUGGGUGGUAAAUUUCAUCUAAAGCUAAAUACUGGCCGGAGACCGAUAGCGCACAAGUAGAGUGAUCGAAAGAUGAAAAGCACUUUGAAAAGAGAGUUAAACAGCACGUGAAAUUGUUGAAAGGGAAGCGCUUGCGACCAGACUCGCCCGCGGGGUUCAGCCGGCAUUCGUGCCGGUGUACUUCCCCGUGGGCGGGCCAGCGUCGGUUUGGGCGGCCGGUCAAAGGCCCCUGGAAUGUAGUACCCUCCGGGGUACCUUAUAGCCAGGGGUGCAAUGCGGCCAGCCUGGACCGAGGAACGCGCUUCGGCACGGACGCUGGCAUAAUGGUCGUAAACGACCCGUCUUGAAACACGGACCAAGGAGUCUAACAUCUACGCGAGUGUUCGGGUGUCAAACCCGUGCGCGCAGUGAAAGCGAACGGAGGUGGGAGCCCCCUCGCGGGGCGCACCAUCGACCGAUCCUGAUGUCUUCGGAUGGAUUUGAGUAAGAGCGUAAAUGUGGGGACCCGAAAGAUGGUGAACUAUGCCUGAAUAGGGCGAAGCCAGAGGAAACUCUGGUGGAGGCUCGCAGCGGUUCUGACGUGCAAAUCGAUCGUCAAAUUUGGGUAUAGGGGGCGAAAGACUAAUCGAACCAUCUAGU